rnacentral:tRNA from 5 species
GGUCUGGUAGUUCAGCUGGUUAGAAUACCUGCCUGUCACGCAGGGGGUCGCGGGUUCGAGUCCCGUCCAGACCGC